UGUGGGGAAUUCAGUGAUCCUAUGCUGCCGAGAAAAGCCUCUAGUGAGUUCAUACACGGCCCGUACCCCAAACCGACACAGGUGAUCAGGUAGAGAAUACCAAGGCGAUCGAGAGAACUGUGGUUAAGGAACUCGGCAAAAUGCCCCCGUAACUUCGGGAGAAGGGGGACCAUGCCCGGUGAACAUCUUCACGGUGGGAGCUGGGUGUGGUCGCAGAGACCAGAGAGAAGCGACUGUUUACUAAAAACACAGGUCCGUGCGAAGACGUAAGUCGAUGUAUACGGACUGACGCCUGCCCGGUGCUGGAAGGUUAAGAGGACCGGUUAGCCGUAAGGCGAAGCUGAGAAUUUAAGCCCCAGUAAACGGCGGUGGUAACUAUAACCAUCCUAAGGUAGCGAAAUUCCUUGUCGGGUAAGUUCCGACCUGCACGAAUGGCGUAACGACUUCUCUGCUGUCUCGACCACAGACUCGGCGAAAUUGCACUACGAGUAAAGAUGCUCGUUACGCGCGGCAGGACGAAAAGACCCCGGGACCUUUACUAUAGCUUGGUAUUGGCGUUCGAUUCGGUUUGUGUAGGAUAGGUGGGAGACUGUGAAGCAUGCACGCCAGUGUGUGUGGAGUCGUUGUUGAAAUACCACUCUGAUCGUAUUGGACGUCUAACCUCGGCCCAUGAUCUGGGUUAGGGACAGUGCCUGGUGGGUAGUUUAACUGGGGCGGUUGCCUCCUAAAGAGUAACGGAGGCGCCCAAAGGUUCCCUCAGCCUGAUGGCAAUCAGGUGUUGAGUGCAAGUGCACAAGGGAGCUUGACUGUGAGACUGACACGUCGAGCAGGGACGAAAGUCGGGACUAGUGAUCCGGCACCGGCAAGUGGAAGCGGUGUCGCUCAACGGAUAAAAGGUACCCCGGGGAUAACAGGCUGAUCUUCCCCAAGAGUCCAUAUCGACGGGAUGGUUUGGCACCUCGAUGUCGGCUCGUCGCAUCCUGGGGCUGGAGUAGGUCCCAAGGGUUGGGCUGUUCGCCCAUUAAAGCGGCACGCGAGCUGGGUUUAGAACGUCGUGAGACAGUUCGGUCUCUAUCCGCCGCGCGCGUAAGAAACUUGAGGAAGGCUGUCCCUAGUACGAGAGGACCGGGACGGACGAACCUCUGGUGUGCCAGUUGUUCCGCCAGGAGCAUGGCUGGUUAGCUACGUUCGGAAGGGAUAACCGCUGAAAGCAUCUAAGCGGGAAGCCUGUUCCAAGAUGAGGUUUCUCACCACCUUGCGUGGUUAAGGCCCCCUACAGACCAUGGGGUUGAUAGGCCGGAACUGGAAGCGCAGCAAUGCGUGGAGGUGACCGGUACUAAUAGGCCGAGGGCU
rnacentral:rRNA from 1 species